rnacentral:lncRNA from 1 species
GAAGGGAUGCGAGAAAUAGUUGCCAUUCAUGGAUUCGUUCCCCCAAAUACCUACAACAGCUUGGAGGGUCUGCACUGGCCGGAAGCUGGAAUCAGAAGCCAGAGCCAGGCAUCAAACCCAAGCGCUCCGGUACGGGAUGCAGGAAUCCACACGGGCAUCUCAAUCACUAACGAGGCCAGCUGUCAACCCCACCAAAAUCCUUUUGCCCCUCACUGAUGCUUCUUUGUUUCUCUCCCUCGCCCAGCAGGCUCAAGGUGCGCCUGUCUGCCUACCAGACACCGGAUCCUGCAAGAUUGUGAACGUAGUAAGUCUUGACCUGGAUGGAAUUCCAGGCUCCUGGAUUCAGCCUGACCCAGACCUGACAAUUAUGGCCAUCUGA